rnacentral:misc_RNA from 1 species
GUGACUCUUUAGAAGGUCCACUCAGAGGCUCGCUGAGAGAUUUUUGCUUCGGCUCCGGCGGGCGCCUGCGGCGGACGCCCCCCCUGGGGCGACCCGCCGGAGCAGAGACGGGGUAUCGUUCACGGUGUUUUGGGAGUCGGAGACUCUGUAAUGAUCCCUCCGCUGGUUCACCAACGGAGA